GGCGGCGUGCCUAAUACAUGCAAGUCGAGCGGUAAGGCCCUUCGGGGUACACGAGCGGCGGACGGCUGAGUAACGCGUGGGAACGUGCCCCAAAGUGAGGGAUAACCUCGAGAAAUCAAGGCUAAUACCGCAUAUGGUCUUCGGAUUAAAGGAUUUAUCCGCUUUGGGAGCGGCCCGCGUACGAUUAGUUUGUUGGUGAGGUAAUGGCUCACCAAGACUACGAUCGUUAACUGGUCUGAGAGGAUGAUCAGUCAGACUGGAACUGAGACACGGUCCAGACUCCUACGGGAGGCAGCAGUAAGGAAUCUUCCACAAUGGGCGAAAGCCUGAUGGAGCAACGCCGCGUGCAGGAUGAAGGCCCUCGGGUCGUAAACUGCUUUUAUGAGUGAAGAAUAUGACGGUAACUCAUGAAUAAGCACCGGCUAACUACGUG
rnacentral:rRNA from 1 species